CUACGGGUUGCAGCAGUGAGGAAUAUUGCACAAUGGGGGGAACCCUGAUGCAGCAACGCCGCGUGGAGGAUGACGCAUUUCGGUGUGUAAACUCCUUUUAUAUGUCAAGAAAAUGACGGUAGCAUAUGGAUAAGCACCGGCUAACUCCGUGCCAGCAGCCGCGGUAGAUACAGGAGGGUGCAAGCGUUACUCGGAAUCACUGGGCGUAAAGGACGCGUAGGCGGGUUGGAAAGUCAGGUGUGAAAUCCUACAGCUUAACUGUAGAACUGCACUUGAAACUUCUAAUCUAGAGUAUGGGAGGGGGAGAUGGAAUUAGUGGUGUAGGGGUAAAAUCCGUAGAUAUCACUAGGAAUACCUAAAGCGAAGGCGAUCUCCUGGAACAUUACUGACGCUAAGGCGUGAAAGCGUGGGGAGCAAACAGGAUUAGAUACCCUAGUAGUC
rnacentral:rRNA from 1 species